UGUUUUCUUGUUGCAGGAACGUGCUUACAACAUUCCUAGAUCCGUAACAUACGAAGAUAGUCUGUUUCGUUAGGCUACAUCGUAUCAUCUGGUAUCUGAGCAUAGGUUGGAAUUGUUGUACUUUUCUUCUCCAACAAGAAAAUUCGAAAUUCAAAACAAAAAUAUAUAUAUAUAUCAGUUUCAAAAAUUCAAAAAAAAAAACAACAACAAAAAGAGAAAGAAAAAUCAGAUUCAAAAAUAAAAAAAAUAAAAAAAUAAAGGAGGAAUUGAAAUUUAUCAAGUUUGGGAAAGAAAAAAAAAGUGUGUUUUGUUAUGUUGAAUAAUGUUUAGUUUUGUACUCUGUAAUUGCGAAGUGCUUGGAUAUCAACCGAAACGAACUAUUCUUAUUUGUUCGGAGCUAGGAACGUUGUAAAGCACUUCUUUGCAGUAAGAAACUAAAAUUAUUUAAAUUCCAUCCUUUUUCCUUUGUUUAUUUUAUUUUCUUAUCCUUUUACUUUUUUCUUAUCCUUUCCCUUUGUUUAUUUAUUUUUUUUCUCUCUCUCUCUAACCGUGUGUUUUCCUUAUAGCCAACACAAUUAUAACAGGUUUUGAAAUGUUGGAUUAGUCCUUUAAAGAACUAAAAACACGAGAAAUUGUGAGGGAAAAAGGCAUUGAGCGUUGUGAGAACAGAAGGGGAGAC
rnacentral:lncRNA from 1 species